rnacentral:rRNA from 1 species
AUUGAACGCUGGCGGCAUGCCUUACACAUGCAAGUCGAACGGCAGCACGGGUGCUUGCACCUGGUGGCGAGUGGCGAACGGGUGAGUAAUACAUCGGAACGUACCUUAUCGUGGGGGAUAACGCAGCGAAAGCUGUGCUAAUACCGCAUACGCCCUGAGGGGGAAAGCGGGGGAUCGCAAGACCUCGCGCGAUUAGAGCGGCCGAUGCCUGAUUAGCUUGUUGGUGGGGUAAAAGCCCACCAAGGCGACGAUCAGUAGCUGGUCUGAGAGGACGAUCAGCCAAACUGGGACUGGGACACGGCCCAGACUCCUACGGGGGGCAGCAGUGGGGAAUUUUGGACAAUGGGGGCAACCCUGAUCCAGCAAUGCCGCGUGAGUGAAGAAGGCCUUCGGGUUGUAAAGCUCUUUUGUCAGGGAAGAAACACCGGCUCUAACACAGUCUGGGAAUGACGGUACCUGAAGAAUAAGCACCGGCUAACUACGUGCCAGCCGCCGCCGUAA